GGAUGAACGCUAGCGGCAGGCCUAACACAUGCAAGUCGAGGGGUAACGAUUUCGAGCAAUCGAAAGGCGACGACCGGCGCACGGGUGAGUAACGCGUAUGCAACCUGCCUCUAACUGGAGAAUAGGUCCCGGAAACGGGAAUUAAUACUCCAUAACAUUGCGAGACCGCAUGGUUUUGCAAUUAAAGCUCCGGCGGUUAGAGAUGGGCAUGCGUGACAUUAGUUUGUUGGUGAGGUAACGGCUCACCAAGACUAUGAUGUCUAGGGGGUCUGAGAGGAUGGUCCCCCACACUGGUACUGAGACACGGACCAGACUCCUACGGGAGGCAGCAGUGAGGAAUAUUGGGCAAUGGACGCAAGUCUGACCCAGCCAUGCCGCGUGCAGGAUGACGGCCCUAUGGGUUGUAAACUGCUUUUAUUUGGGAAGAACUCCCCGGACGUGUCCGGGGCUGACGGUACCAAAAGAAUAAGCAUCGGCUAACUCCGUGCCAGCAGCCGCGGUAAUACGGAGGAUGCAAGCGUUAUCCGGAUUUAUUGGGUUUAAAGGGUGCGUAGGCGGGAAAUUAAGUCAGUGGUGAAAUCCUACA
rnacentral:rRNA from 1 species